UCUUUUUCUCUCUCUCUCCACUCUCCCGGCCGGCUCUCUCUCACCUCUCCUCCAAACUUCUCUCUUUGAUUUCAUCUCCAUAGAAAGAGAUUUUGAAAAAAUCCCAAGUAUUAAAGUUGUUCUACACGACGAGAGCUUCCUACCCGUCCAAGAAAAUUCAUGAUCGGAGCACUUCGAAGUUUCCUCCAUGUUCGGGCUUGCUUCUAACCUUCGAGUCCAAGGGUUGUACUGGGGAAGUACUGCAACGCAAGGGGUGGUAACGCAGAAACCCAACUAUUGGGUUGUAUUUACUGCUACGCAAGGGGUGGUAAUGCAGACGGCAAUGCAAGGGGUGGAAAUGCCGAAACUUAACCAUUGGGUGAUGUUUACUGUAACGCAAGGGGUGGAAAUACAGAAGGUUGUGAGUAUUGGUAUGUUGACUUAGAAUGUGAAAUUUUGGCGGAACGAAGUACUCAUGUGAGAAACUAUGAACUUUUAACCCGAGUUGGUGUCCUAGAUGGUUUGAAGUGUCGAUGCUUGCUUUCUUCCUUCUUGUAGACUUCCUAAAUUUUAUUGGCUUGAUAAAUUGGGAUUGGUGUGGUAAUUUAUUUGGUAUCGAAACGUGUUAAGUUUGAUGCCGUAGAUGUGAUAGUAUCUAUAGUGAAAGAGUUACAUUGGUAUUGUAGUUUAAACUUAUAAUGGUAAACUCAAGAUUUGACUGAACGGUAUGCAUGUACGUAUAGGUGGAUAAUUUACACUUGUUGAUGAC